UACGUAGGUGGCAAGCGUUGUCCGGAAUCAUUGGGCGUAAAGCGCGUGUAGGCGGUCCGGUAAGUCCGCUGUGAAAGUCGAGGGCUCAACCCUCGAAUGCCGGCGGAUACUGUCGGGCUAGAGUCCGGAAGAGGCGAGUGGAAUUCCUGGUGUAGCGGUGAAAUGCGCAGAUAUCAGGAGGAACACCUACGGCGAAGGCAGCUCGCUGGGACGGUACUGACGCUGAGACGCGAAAGCGUGGGGAGCAAACAGG
rnacentral:rRNA from 1 species